rnacentral:ncRNA from 1 species
GUUUCCAAUGGAUGCUGUGAAGUAAUGAUUAAUUUCAACAAGAUGUGAGACCCUCAUUUAGACAGAUGUAGUGAUACAUAUGAAGGAGAGGAUUAAAACAGGUCCGUUAUGCCCUAAGAUAAUCUGGGUUGCACGCGCAAUACAAUAAUAUUUGAUAUUAUAAGGGAUAAUAUAAUGUAAGAUAUAUUUGAACAUGGAAUUGCUAGUAAAUUUUAUUUAAUAAGUAGAAUUGAAUGAGUCCCUGUUCUUUGUACACACCGCCCGUCGCUAUCUAAGAUGGUAUUAUCUAUGAACAAAUUUAUAAAGUGAAUAGAUAGUACUAGAUCUGAUAUAAGUCGUAACAUGGUUGCUGUUGGAGAACCAUUAGCAGGAUCAUAA